CCGAUGUGAAGAGAGCAGAGUGCCUGAAGCGUGACUCCUCUGUGAUUAACACAUCCAACAGCAACGUGGGCUUACUCCUCACAGGUGGCAGGACACUCUGGCCUUCCUGUGACAGUGUGCCCUCUACGU
rnacentral:snoRNA from 1 species